rnacentral:rRNA from 1 species
ACGGCCGCGGUAUCCUAACCGUGCAAAGGUAGCACAAUAACUUGUUCUUUAAAUUAGGACUAGUAUGAACGGCUUCACGAGGGCUACACUGUCUCCCCCCCCCAAUCAGUGAAACUGAUCCCCCCGUGAAGAAGCGGGGAUAACCCAAUAAGACGAGAAGACCCUAUGGAACUUUAAACUAGUGUCACCACACUAAACCACACCACACACUCUAAACUGCAUGACUACUAGUCUUUCGGCUGGGGCGACCACGGGGGAUAGUAAAACCCCCAAGAUAAAGGAAUUUUCCUCCUAUCCCAGAACUACUAUUCUAAUAAUAACAUGAACAUCUUGACCCAACUACCUUGAUCAACGAACCAAGCUACCCUAGGGAUAACAGCGCAAUCCAUUUCAAGAGACCCCAUCGACAAAUGGGCUUACGACCUCGAUGUUGGAUCAGGGCAUCCCGGUGGUGCAGCCGCUACCAAAGGUUCGUUUGUUCAACGAUUAAAGCCCU